GUACAGUGAGUGGAAGUCACAGGUAAGGAACAGUGAGGAAAAUAACCUGUAGGUUUCACAGGAAUGAUCUACCAAGAACCACUGCAUGUACCACUGUGGUAGAAGUUAAGGAGUCUUCAUAGGAUGCUGGAUGAAGGCUGGAUACUUCUAUAUCAGCAGAAUGCUUUGUUUUAUGGCCUCUUGAUGCUGGUAAGUGACUUUGAGAGCCCCUGCAGUAGUUUGGACAUGGUUGAAAAGUAAACAGAUGCAGCUGUCCAAAACAGAAGAAAAGAGAUUCUCCUCUGACAAUUGUUAGAUGUCAUCUCUUGGAUGUCUUCAUCCCUGGAAAAAGUAAUAGUCUAUAAGAAACUACUCGAUCUCAGCUCAUCUAAUCAGAUAGAAGCCAAACUACACUGAGGAGCCAUUCUCUCACCUCAUCAAUCUUGCACAAGAAUGAUUUAAUUGUCUCCUCAAUGUAUGUCAUUCAUGGGAAAAAUUCUGUGUUCAAUAACAUCAGCUGCAGAAGCUGGGAGUCCUAUUAAAGUUAUAUUAGACACA
rnacentral:lncRNA from 1 species